rnacentral:rRNA from 1 species
GACGAACGCUGGCGGCGUGCCUAAUACAUGCAAGUAGAACGCUGAAGGAGGAGCUUGCUUCUCCGGAUGAGUUGCGAACGGGUGAGUAACGCGUAGGUAACCUGCCUUGUAGCGGGGGAUAACUAUUGGAAACGAUAGCUAAUACCGCAUAAGAGUAGAUGUCGCAUGACAUUUGCUUAAAAGGUGCAACUGCACCACUACCAGAUGGACCUGCGGUGUAUUAGCUAGUUGGUGAGGUAACGGCUCACCAAGGCAACUAUACAUAGCCGAACUGAGAGGGGGAUCGGCCACCCUGGGACGGGGACACGGCACAGACUCCUAAGGGAGGGAGCAGUAGGGAAUCUUCGGCAAUGGACGGAAGUCUGAGCGAGCAACGCCGCGUGAGUGAAGAAGGUUUUCGGAUCGUAAAGCUCUGUUGUAAGAGAAGAACGAGUGUGAGAGUGGAAAGUUCACACUGUGACGGUAUCUUACAAGAAAGGGACGGCUAACUACGUG